rfam:Gossypium raimondii Chr05_contig_763, whole genome shotgun sequence.
UAUUAAAAAUUUCAUUUAUUUGUAGUAUUAAAAACUGGCGUGCCUAACAAAAUAACCGAAUAAUAACACAUGAUGUUCCACGUGUAUGUCAUGUUGAUGUACAAAGAGACAAAUUUUUAAUAAUAGAAAUGGAUGAAAUUUUUAAUA